rnacentral:lncRNA from 1 species
GCAAACGGACAUUUAUUCAGGAGGUACAAUUACUAGAGUCCUUAUAUAUCAAUAAUCAUUCCACAGUAUAAUCACAUGUACUCUUUUAAGUCUAUACCAAGUCAUGCUGAUGCUUUCCAGUAAGCCAUAACCUUAUCUUCUAUUAAGUUCUAUUCAUUUUAAUUGUAAACAAAGUACUUGAGCAAAAUGCCUUAAACUUUUACAACAGGAAGAUGAUCUUAAAAAGUGAGACCCUACAGAACAGGACUCCAUCCAUGUAGUAGAACAGUAAUGAUAAAGGAGCCAUAUCUAGACGGCACAGAUUCAUUCCUCAUAGUGCUUUCACAUCGGCGAUGCUUAAACAUGCUCUUUCAAAUGAUAACCUGCAAUUUUUUUUAAAGGUAAAGGGGACAGAAGGAGAAACACUAAUAAGAUUUUACAAUUGAAUUACUGGUAGGUCUUAUUUUUUAAAGAACAAGAAAAGGGAAUACAAAAGCCAGCAUGGUUUACAGAGAGAGCUCCAGGACAGCCAGAACUAUGUAGAGAUUCUCCAAAAAAAAAAAAAAAAGGACUGCCAAAUACUUCUUAAGCCCAUAAAAAGAUACUAAGGAGUAGAAUCAAUCGUUAAAUAGCUUCAGAUUAAAUGUACUUUCAAACAGAGUCCAGUAUAAUCAGAAAGUCCAUGGGCUAGUGCUUCUGAAGCUUGGGUGUCAGAAUGAGCCUCUGAAGACAAUAGAGGGUAGACACUGUCAU